GACUGUCGAAGGAUAAGCUUAAGACCUUAAUUCACAAUC
rfam:Formosa sp. Hel1_33_131, complete genome.